rnacentral:rRNA from 1 species
UACGUAGGGAGCAAGCGUUAUCCGGAUUUACUGGGUGUAAAGGGCGUGUAGGCGGGCCUGCAAGUCAGAAGUGAAAUCUGGGGGCUUAACCCCCAAACUGCUUUUGAAACUGCGGGUCUUGAGUGAUGGAGAGGUAGGCGGAAUUCCCGGUGUAGCGGUGAAAUGCGUAGAGAUCGGGAGGAACACCAGUGGCGAAGGCGGCCGCCUGGCCUGUUACUGACGCUGAGGCACGAAAGCGUGGGGAGCAAAUAGG